GGCUUGGCUAAAACACUUUGACUGGGUCACUUGGUGUCUAACCUAGAGUCAGACACCAGCUCCUAUGACUUAGGACUGAUUACAGCCUUUGGAGCCAUCAUUGAAAAGGACACAGGCAGAAGGGGGCCAUCUGCAAGCAAGCCAGGAAGUGGGUUCUCACCAGAAACCUAAUCAAAUGGCACCUUGAUCUCAGACUUCGCGGCCUCCAGAAUGGGUAGAGUCGGGAAAAUGGAUACCACGCCUGCUAGUUCCAAAGUGAGAAUUUAAAUAAGGAACCAGAUACAAAUGUGUUGGAAGAGCUGAAAGGGAUGGCUGUGGGUGGAGAGCAGAACAAGAAAGGACAGGAACAUAUCUGGGAGC